rnacentral:rRNA from 1 species
UGAGGGAUAUUGGGCAAUGGGGGAAACCCUGACCCAGCGACGCCGCGUGAGGGAAGACGGUCUUCGGAUUGUAAACCUCUGUCUUUGGGGACGAAAAAGGGACGGUACCCAAGGAGGAAGCUCCGGCUAACUACGUGCCAGCAGCCGCGGUAAUACGUAGGGAGCGAGCGUUGUCCGGAAUUACUGGGUGUAAAGGGAGCGUAGGCGGGAAGGCAAGUUGGAUGUGAAAACUGUGGGCUCAACCGACAGACUGCAUUCAAAACUGUUUUUCUUGAGUGAAGUAGAGGCAAGCGGAAUUCCUAGUGUAGCGGUGAAAUGCGUAGAUAUUAGGAGGAACACCAGUGGCGAAGGCGGCUUGCUGGGCUUUUACUGACGCUGAGGCUCGAAAUGUGUGGGGAGCAAACAGGAUUAGAUACC